rfam:Dipodomys ordii contig_48440, whole genome shotgun sequence.
GGGAAUGUGGCUUACUGGUGGAGUGCUUGCCUAGCAUGCAUGAAGCCCUAGGUUCGAUUCCUCAGUACCA